rnacentral:sRNA from 1 species
GCUGGGUGCAGUGGCGCACACCUGUAAUCCCAGCAGCUCAGGAGCCUGAGACAGGAGGAUCCUGAGUUCAAAGCCAGCUUCAGCAAAAGCAAGGAGCUAAGCAACUCAGUGAGACCCUGUCUCUA